rnacentral:rRNA from 1 species
UGGGGAAUAUUGCACAAUGGGCGGAAGCCUGAUGCAGCAACGCCGCGUGAGUGAUGAAGGCCUUCGGGUUGUAAAGCUCUGUCUUUUGGGACGAUAAUGACGGUACCAAAGGAGGAAGCCACGGCUAACUACGUGCCAGCAGCCGCGGUAAUACGUAGGUGGCAAGCGUUGUCCGGAUUUACUGGGCGUAAAGGAUGCGUAGGCGGAUUUUUAAGUGAGAUGUGAAAUACCCGGGCUUAACUUGGGUGCUGCAUUUCAAACUGGGAAUCUAGAGUGCGGGGAGAGGAGAAUUGGAAUUUCCUAGUGUAGCGGUGAAAUGCGUAGAGAUUAGGAAGAACACCAGUGGCGAAGGCGAUUCUCUGGACCGUAACUGACGCUGAGGCAUGAAA